UGGAUCCAGAAGAAGCCAGGGUCUGAAC
rnacentral:piRNA from 1 species